UCGUCUCUUAGCCAUAAUUGU
rnacentral:piRNA from 1 species